GCGGGUAUGGUCUAGUGGUUAUGGCGUCUGUUUUACACGCAGAAGGUCCCGGGUUCAAUCCCCGGUGCCCGUA
rnacentral:tRNA from 1 species